GCGCUGCUGAGGAGUCCCACAACAGGACGAAACGGCCGUCCGGUGC
rnacentral:hammerhead_ribozyme from 1 species